UACGGGGGGGGCAAGCGUUUGUUCGGAAUUACUGGGCGUAAAGGGCUCGUAGGCGGCCAACUAAGUCAUACGUGAAAUCCCUCGGCUUAACCGGGGAACUGCGUCUGAUACUGGAUGGCUUGAGUUCGGGAGAGGGAUGCGGAAUUCCAGGUGUAGCGGUGAAAUGCGUAGAUAUCAGGAGGAACACCAAUGGCGAAGGCAGCACUCUGGGACGGUACUGACGCUGAGACGCGAAAGCGUGGGGAGCAAACAGG
rnacentral:rRNA from 1 species